ensembl:ncRNA F18A11.9 ncRNA
GGACGGACCAAGGACAAAGACGAGAAGAGAGCGGAAUGAGGCCAUAUUUCAAGAGGGUUAGUGGGGAGCCCAUUGAGCAGUCAGCCUAUGCCGUUCCAAUUUUAUACAUUUAUACGUAUA